rnacentral:lncRNA from 1 species
GCAGGUGCUGGGAACCAAAUCUGGGUCCACAACAAAAGCAUCAGGCACUCCCAACUACUGAGCCAGCUCUCCAGCUUAAUUUUGGGUUUUUGAGAGAGAGAGAGGGAGAGAGAGAGAGAGAGAGAGAGAGAGAGAGAGAGAGAGAGAGAGAGUCUCAUGUAGUUUGUGGUGACUUCUGAAUGAAAAAAAAGAAAGAAAGAAAGAAGGAGGAUAUGACCCACUCCUAAGGGGUUGUUUUUAUUCCAGAUACAAGGGCGAGCACAGGCAGAAGCAGAGACGUCUGGGAGAAUCCAGAGUGGACAGGACCAUGACUGACCAACUAGAUGCCAACAGCCAAUAGCUGGGCAAAGGGAGACAGAGUGGGACCCUUAGAGUCUGGCUAGGCCGCAGGCGGGAGGAGAAGGAGAAUCGCCAUGACGCAGGCACAGCAUGAGAUAAAGAGAUAAAGCCAACCAGCCUCGUGAGAUUUUUGGCUCUGCCCAAAGCUGGGCUGUGAACUGAAUUGGGCAGAACUGGAAUUUAUGAUUUGAGCACUUCCACACAAACCUCCUUCACACCACCCUGCUCUGCAGUGAAAGUCUAAGAAGCUGAGAGGAACUAAGUCCUGAGAGGGAACCAGUCCCUGAAGCACGUGGUGAGCAUAAGAAAAACAACAAAGCUUCAUCCAGCAUCCACAGCACCAGCACACGUGACUGCUGCAGCGGCCACUGAGAGCGAGAGGGAAAUAUCAGCCCCGGGGAAGAGUAGGAAGCGGUGGCCACAAGGCAGCCUGAAUGCUGGUUUAUCACUUUGGAAUUCAGCUCCACUCAAGCUUUUCAGGAGAUGGGCAGAAGGCAGCAGCAGAGUCUUUUCCAAACUGUAACACGAGUGCCCGUAGUCGGAUUUCCAAGCCUGUCUGAACCUUGGGAACCUGGGGCUCCAUGUCUCUCUCAGCACUCUGGACUUCUGAACUCCUACCAGAAUAUCUCUUUAAGCCCUAAUUACAGCAUCCACAGCUUCUCUGACCUGCAGCUUCAAACUUUUCCAUGAUCUAGUUCCAUAAGUCUAUGAACCAUAUGAGUCGGGUUUAUCACAGU